rnacentral:lncRNA from 1 species
CCUGCACUCUGUAUAGUAUCAAGAAGAUUAAAAUCCUUCUAUAUGUAGGGGUUGGAAACUUCUCCCCGAGAAGCUUUUCAGGAGGAAGCAAGUUCCUUCAGGUGGGGAUAUAGUUGGGCUGUGUAAGAGACCUGCAAAGCGGCAUUCAGCAAGAAUCAUGUUAAGAUAACUCCAAACAACAAGCAAUAAGAGAAUGCUUAUUUUGCCUCAUUUGCAGUGCCUUUGCUAUACUUGGCUGUGACACAAAGAAUUGAGCUCUGAUGAGCAUUGCAAGAAGAGAAGAUGAUUGUUUUACCAGCUUGAAAGAGAAGGGAAUCUGGGGAAUUCAUUCUUAUUUAUACUAUUAUGAAGAUCUUUUGUUUUUUGGCCUGAGAGUAAAAAGACCAAAGGACAUUUAAAGCCUGCACUUUUUGCUGCAGCAUUUUCAUCAGCUGACACAAAGCUGGCCAAUUUAUUGCUCUGACUGACAGCAGCUGAUCAAGUGUUCCCACAGCCACUAUCACAGUGUGAAACAUUGGGUUCAAAAUGGUGAUGGGUUCAUUUGCUGUAAUUCUAAAUGGGACAGAGCCCAAAACCAGGAUCCCAGCUCCCUUGAACUCGAGCUGUUCAGAAUUCAGAUCCAUAUCAAAAUCUUCCUGCUCAAGCCCAUCACUACUUAAUUUACCAAGGCUGUUACUGGCACAGCACUUCAUUCUGGCUGUCUUCACUAGCCCUCACGUGGCAGCCACAAUAAAUUAUGCAGCUGGGAAUGCAACAGCAUCUGAAGCAAUUGACCCGUGCAAGGAUAGUGGUAUCACUUACGUCGCUGUGAUGCAGCCCCAUGCCAGGCAAAGCAGCCCUGUCCUCCACCAAGGGGACGAGAGGUUGCUCCCCUACUCUCCCAUACGUUGCUCCACUCAUCCCUGCUCCCUGCCCCAGGACUAACCUGAGCUUCCUUCCACGUUGACAUUGCACAGCUUCACCAACUGCAAUUGCACACACUUACUGGGAUCCUUUCCAUUCAAAAAAGUCCUCCAGAGGACUCCUCUGCCCUCCUCACCAUUGCCCUGCCAUUAAGUUCUCUCAAGCUGCUACUACUGUUUCCUUGAGCGCAAAAACUUCCCAGAGGAGGAGGAGAGAGGGAAAAACUACGAGUUCCUGGCUUAGCUCCAGAGCCUACACAGACCUGCUGGGUUACAGAUAAGAAAAUGACCUUCUUCCCGCAACGGGAGUAUCAGAGCAGCUGGGUCACCUGUGAGAUUGGGAGUUUUCCCUGCUUCAGAAAGAAGUGCUUCGCACCCUCCCCUUGGAGCAGGUUACCUCUGUACAGAGCUUCCCACGGGACUGACACUAAACAGCAUGGCCUAUGCUAAUGCUCAUAACUAGCUUGCACCUCACUUUCUGUCUGAAGCAUCAAGUAUUCACCACGAGUGCUGAGCUACAUAUGGUGCAAGGUAUACAUUAUUCCACUGGCAGCCGUUAUAUGACACUGUAAGUAAAAUAAAGUAACAGGUAGAUAUAUUUUUCUUGUUAAU